UGAUGCCAUUCAUAGCAAAAGUGAGACAGAAGACUCUAUUCAAUAAAGCACUUUAACAACUCAAAUGCUGCACCUACUUGAACUUGCCAAGAGGUUGCAAGGAGAGGAAGCCCCUUCUCGACGCGUGAUGGAUUCCACUGAGAACUUGGUUGCUUCUUCUUGGAGUUUCAAGGUCUCUUGGGUUUGCCUUUGCAGCGCUUCCCUGUGGAAUCAUAUGGGCAAAAGUAUUAUUGUGGACAUUUCUGGGCUCAAACUGUCAACUGCAGAUUAUUGAAACAUCUGUAAUAGCAUAAAAGGUACUACCUUAGCUCUUUAAUAUUCUUGCUCAUUUUUGCAAUGCCUGCAAACAAUUACAAUAACUUUUAUUACUGCAUAAGAAAUCAAU